AGACAAGGUUUUUUUUUCUUUUAAAACUUGCUAACAGACCUUGGUGAAAAGGUAGUUUGGGAAGCUCUUCCCCCAAAUCAAGGUAGUUUGGGAAAACGGCUUUUCUAUCACAAGAGGAUGCUUAAUGCUGAAAUUUUUAAAGCUCUUUUUGUCGCCUGCUCUGGCCAGCACAUCUAGGAGAAGUACAGAGCAAUUAAAAUUAUUUUGCCUGUGCUGGAAUCCGUAUGUAUAUGGCUUGCAUCAGUUGAGAUAGAUGCUCUCCUGAAGGCUUUAGGGCAGCAACACUACCAGCAGCAGCCUGGAUUAGAGUUGGCUGUUUCUAGAAGAAAAGAUGGAGGAAAGGCUGCUCACGGGUAGAGAAAGCUGGUGGCAGUGCUGUAGGCCGCCCGAGGGUCGUCCGUACCCUGCUCGGAAAAGUCACCGUUCGACGAGGGAAGCAAAAUGAUGGCACCUUUAGGAGCUAUCGUAAUUUAUCUGGAAAAUAACCCCAUAGUGCUGGGUAACUGAGUGUUUUUUGGAGCACACCCAGCCGGUCUCCCGAGGGCAUGAAGUGCUCCCGCCAGGGAUGGAUACCCCUUUGAGUAAUUCUGAGGAGAAAUGAGUGACGUGAAUAUUUUUCUGGGAGAGAGAAAGGGGUAGUGCUCCUUACAGCUGGGAUACAGGAACGUGCACAGUGCCCUGAGGCACUGCUCCAAGAAGACAAGGGAUACCGGGGCACCCUCCAAAAUCCUCCACCUUGUGCUGGUCUGGAGCUGGUAAGGAAUCCUCAUUCCCACCUGGGGAGGGUGAAACACAGUUGGGAACCAGGAGGCGAACUGCCCUCAGACAUCCGAAGGGAAGCUGUUCUCAAGGCUUUGAAACUAUUCUCUUUCCUCUUAAAAGGCAAGAUGCUAGCGAUAGAAAUCAGGAAAAUAGGGUUAGGAAAAAGGAGAAGGUAAACUGGUGGUGAUAUGUUCUGAAUACUACUGUGCUAUAACUUGGCUACUGUCCUCUAAUUAUUGAAACAUGCUGUUGGCUAAUAUAUAUAUUACAUUACCAAGGAGUUUGCAUAGAAUGGUUCACAUUUAUGCAUUUUAUAUCUCAUAAGUCUAGAUAUGAAUGAGAAUGCGAGACACCUGAUUGUCUUGAUCAGCCUAAUGUCGAUCGAGUUAAUUCUCCAAUUCAAACCACUAGUCAGCAGUAUUUUCUGGGAACAUCACUCUGAUGUAGAGGCAACAUUUUUCAGAUUACAGAUGUUAUUGAGGUAAUUCAGGUUUUAAAGUAUUUUUAAUGUUGUCUUUAGGUCUUUUGUUUGUGAAUAGGUAUAGUUGACAUGCCAGUUAUAAUACCAGGCAUUUCUAGGCCUAGGACCUUCACCUCUAUUAACAGAGGAAACUGGUAAAUAUUACUCCUUUACUCUGGCAAAGCAUAAGACAAUUCUGGCUAUGGAAAUAUUGAGUGACCUCAGGUGGUUCUGAACACCUCCUUAGCUUUCAGCACUUAUAAUGAAGCUAGAAGUUGUAUUAAAAAUACAGCUUCAGGAACCUUUCUGCCUGUGAACUUCCCACUCAUUAGGUGUGAGGUAUAUUACUUUACUCAGUGACUGGCUCUGAUCCAUCCUUCCUUACUAUCUUGAUAUUUCCUCUGAGACUCAUGUAAUAACAAUGCCAUUGUUUCUUCAGAUUAAUAAAAAUUAAACAACAAGCCUCA
ensembl:lncRNA